UGUUUCAAUCCCACAGGUUUAUUAAGUCCUAUAUGAAGUUGGCAGCUCCCAUGGAGUGCAGGACUCUGGGCUCUCUUGCGAUGAAUGAUGUUUACUUAGGAAUUUUAUAGAGCCAGAUAAGCCUAGAAGGACAGGCUGCGGAUGGUAAGAGAACUCAGUGCCUCAUCCCAGGGUGCAAAGCACCCUUGUUGUUUCCGUUCCCAACACCAGUCCCGAGUUGCUCGCUCAAGAUGCUGACCUGGUGGACAAGUCAGUGGCUGUUCUGAAACAUCUGGAGGAGCUUUGUCACAACAAUUGUGCCUCAGCCAUGGAGGAAUAUGAGAAGCAGCUGAAAGACAUCCCCCCAGAGGGUAACCAAAGGACCUGUGCUCCCUCAACCGGCUGGUGGAUUCAGCUUUGGAGGACUCUGGGGCAGAGAACCCUGCGAAAAAGAAGCAGAAGAAAGAGAACAAAAAAGAUCAAGAGAAGCAGACU